UGCGUAGGUGGCAAGCGUUGUCCGGAUUUAUUGGGUUUAAAGGGUGCGUAGGUGGUCUAUUAAGUCAGUGCUGAAAUAUCCCGGCUUAACCGGGAGGGUGGCAUUGAUACUGAUGGACUUGAGUAAAGUUGAGGUGGGCGGAAUUGACGGUGUAACGGUGAAAUGCUUAGAUAUCGUCAAGAACACCUAUUGCGAAGGCAGCUCACUAAGCUUUAACUGACACUGAGGCACGAAAGUGUGGAGAUCAAACAGG
rnacentral:rRNA from 1 species